GUCUACAGCCAUACCACCCUGAAUGCACCCAAUCUCAUCUGAUCUCAGAAGCUAAGCCAGGUCAGGCCUGGUUAGUUCUUGGAUGAGAAACACAGAUCACUCAGGAAUUCUGGAGUGGCAGAAU
rnacentral:rRNA from 1 species